rnacentral:ncRNA from 1 species
GGGCUCUGGAGAAUCCCUGAAAAAAAGGGUGCCGAAGGUGCAAGCGCAUGAAAUCCAUGCGUCAAUCUCUCAGGCAAAAGGACAGAGCU